UACGUAGGGGCCUAGCGUUGUCCGGAUUUAUUGGGCGUAAAGGGCUCGUAGGCGGUUUGUCGCGUCGGGAGUGAAAUCCACUGGCUUAACUGGUGGCUUGCUUUCGAUACGGGCAGACUGGAGGUAUGCAGGGGAGAACGGAAUUCCUGGUGUAGCGGUGAAAAUGCGCAGAUAUCAGGAGGAACACCGGUGGCGAAGGCAGGUCUCUGGGCCGCAACUGACGCUGAGGAGCGAAAGCAUGGGGAGCGAACAGG
rnacentral:rRNA from 1 species